rnacentral:rRNA from 1 species
GACGAACGCUGGCGGCGUGCUUAACACAUGCAAGUCGAGCGGUAAGGCCCUUUCGGGGGUACGACGAGCGGCGAACGGGUGAGUAACACGUGGGUGACCUGCCCUCAGCUCUGGGAUAAGCCUGGGGAACCGGGUCUAAUACCGGAUAUGACUCCAUGACGCAUGUUGUGGGGUGGAAAGCCUUGUGCGGCUGAGGAUGGGCCCGCGGCCUAUCAGCUUGUUGGUGGGGUGAUGGCCUACCAAGGCGACGACGGGUAGCCGGCCUGAGAGGGCGACCGGCCACACUGGGACUGAGACACGGCCCAGACUCCUACGGGAGGCAGCAGUGGGGAAUCUUGCGCAAUGGGCGAAAGCCUGACGCAGCGACGCCGCGUGAGGGAUGACGGCCU